AACGAACGCUGGCGGCGUGCCUAACACAUGCAAGUCGAACGUGAUUGAGAGCUUGCUCUCAUGAAAGUGGCGCACGGGUGAGUAACGCGUAGAUAAUCUACCUUUGUCUGGGGGAGUAACCUACCGAAAGGUAGGGCUAAUACCGCAUAACGUGAUCGAGUUGCGAUUUGAUCACCAAAGAAGGCCUCUCCAUGGAAGCUUUCGGGUAAAGAUGAGCUCGCGUCCCAUUAGCUAGUUGGUAAGGUAAAAGCUUACCAAGGCGACGAUGGGUAGCUGGUCUGAGAGGAUGGCCAGCCACACUGGAACUGGAACACGGUCCAGACUCCUACGGGAGGCAG
rnacentral:rRNA from 1 species